AUUCCAGCUCCAAUAGCGUAUAUUAAAGUUGUUGCAGUUAAAAGGCUCGUAGUUGAGCCUUGGACAAAGUGCGCGUGGUCUACCGCAAGGUACGACUGCGGCGUUGCGUCUCUUUAGGGGGACUCGAUGCUUCGGUGUCGAGGUAACCCGUGUUACUGUGAAGAAAUUAGAGUGUUCAAAGCAGGCUAUCGCUUGAAUACAUCAGCAUGGAAUAACAAGUUGGACUUUGCUCCUACUUGUUGGUUUGAGGGGAAAAGUAAUGAUUAAUAGGGAUAGUUGGGGGGAUUCAUAUUUAAUUGUCAGAGGUGAAAUUCUUGGAUUUAUUGAAGACGAACUACUGCGAAAGCAUUUACCAAGGAUGUUUUCAUUG
rnacentral:rRNA from 1 species